AUGCAGCUAAUAUUAGCUAUUGUCAACACUUUUUUGAAAGUAACUGUAACUUGCUGCUCAUUGUUUUAUUAGAAAAAUCAACCAAGCUUUCACUGACAUUGGGGAGCACAUUACGCAACAACACGAAGGUGACGAAGAUUAUACCCAGAGAGAACUGAGAGCAGAAACUCGUCUCACAGGUCCAAGGGAUAGUGAAGAUGCCACCCGAAGAAGUGAGCUGAUUGCAGGACCUCUCAAAGUGGCACAGGUGAGGCAAAACUUCAGACAAAACUUUUCAUGUGUUUAUCAUUCUUAAAUUGCAGUAACUUGUCUGUUCUUUCAUGUUAUUCUUAGGAAAGUGAGGAAGACUACAGUCAGACAGUACUUGCAAGUACAGAGGACAACAAUGAAGAUGCUAGUGCUACACAAAGACAAGAUCAAAGAGCAGAAUCUUCUACAGUGGUACAGGAGAAUUGUCCUCAAGAAAAAUGUGAUGUCCACUCCUCCCACGGACUAACAGAAGAGCAAAGCAUCAUCUCGAUUCUUUCGUUUGCACUGAGGCACAACACUACAGGAGUAUUAAUGGAGGACCUUCUGAAACUGCUGAAGUUGCAUUCUGCUGGGACCACUGCAGUUCCAAGAAGCAAGUAUUUUCUGGAGAAACCAUUUGCUGAUAUUACUAAGCAGUUUGAGCAACAUCAUUACUGUAAAGUCUGUACUAAGUACACUGGUUCUUCACAGACUCCAGAGGAAAUGCUCACAUGUGUGCCAUGUUCCUUAUCCACUACAGUGCAAGCCAGUUUAGAGGAAGGCCAUUUUUUCAUUAGUAUACCAUUA